AUCAGUGGCCAUAGCAAAGGGGAUCACCUGAUACCAUUCCGAACUCAGUAGUUAAGCCCUUUAGCGCCGAAGAUACCAGGGAUGGGAAAAUAGGGAGCUGCUUUUU
rnacentral:rRNA from 2 species